UCAGAAGCUGGACUGUGUUAGACCA
rnacentral:piRNA from 1 species